UACGGGGGGGGCAAGCGUUGUUCGGAAUUACUGGGCGUAAAGCGUGCGCAGGCGGUUUUGUAAGCCAGAUGUGAAAUCCCCGGGCUUAACCUGGGAAUGGCAUUUGGGACUGCAAGGCUGGAGUGUGGCAGAGGAGACUGGAAUUCCCGGUGUAGCAGUGAAAUGCGUAGAUAUCGGGAGGAAUACCGAUGGCGAAGGCAGGUCUCUGGGCUGACACUGACGCUCAUGCACGAAAGCGUGGGGAGCAAACAGG
rnacentral:rRNA from 1 species